AACGAACGCUGGCGGCAUGCCUAACACAUGCAAGUCGAACGAGACCUUCGGGUCUAGUGGCGCACGGGCGCGUAACGCGUGGGAACCUGCCCUUAGGUUCGGAAUAACUCCCCGAAAGGGGUGCUAAUACCGGAUAAUGUCUUCGGACCAAAGAUUUAUCGCCUUUGGAUGGGCCCGCGUUGGAUUAGCUAGUUGGUAGGGUAAAAGCCUACCAAGGCGACGAUCCAUAGCUGGUCUGAGAGGAUGAUCAGCCACACUGGGACUGAGACACGGCCCAGACUCCUACGGGAGGCAGCAGUGGGGAAUAUUGGACAAUGGGCGAAAGCCUGAUCCAGCAAUGCCGCGUGAGUGAUGAAGGCCUUAGGGUUGUAAAGCUCUUUUACCCGGGAUGAUAAUGACAGUACCGGGAGAAUAAGCGCCGGCUAACUCCGU
rnacentral:rRNA from 1 species